GAAGCCCAUGGGUUCUUUGUGCCAGAGAGCAUGUGGGACUUGGGGAUGAAAGGUAAUAAUAUGGUAUGGGUCUCAGAGGAGCUCACAGCCUUGAAACAAAGUAAAGGAACUGGAUGAAGAAAGAAAGGGAACAACAAUUCUCAGGCAAAUAACAUUAGCAGGCGCUGCACAUGCUACGUAGAUUCAUUUUACUCUUUGGCCUUCGUAUCAACACAAUUCAUUUAUUAAAUAAUUAAAUGGGGAUUUAUAGUUAAUCUAUUAUACUUCAGCAGUGACUGGACCCUAAGUGAAGAAAGUUCCUGCUCCCAUAGAUCUUACAUUCUCAUGGUACAGACAGGCCAAAUGCAGGGCAAUUGGGAGAUUAAUAAAACGAACGAUUAAUAAAACAAACAAUUAAUAAAGCAAUACGAAUUCUCAAAAACAAACAAAUAUCUGAGAUGGAAGAUAAUACAAAGACUAGAGCUGUGUGGGGAGUCUUCGUUUAAUUAACUAGGUGGGGAAAACUUCUCUGAGGAGGUGAUGAAUUGAGAUCUAACGCUGACAUAGGAACAACGAGGAGACUAUCAAGGUAAAUGGCACGCAGGGACUCUCAGAAUACUAACAAGGCUUUGUGAGGAAAGCGAGAAUGUCACGGGAUGAAGUGGAGAAAAUCAAGUACAUUUCAAAUCAAUUAACAUAACCACUCGAGGCCUUUUAAAUUCUAGCUCGGACUCACCGUUUCCAACCCUAGCACCAACUUUUCACAGAAUCUUUCUAGACACCCAGACCUACUUUUUCUCACUACUUCUUCAUUCAUGUACUUAAUAUACAGUUGACAACAUUUAUUUAAUAUAGUUGGAGCAACAUGGUUUGAACUGCAUGGAUCCCCUUAUAGUUGGCCCUCCAUGUCCAUGGGUUCUGCAUCUGUAAAUUCAACCAACUAUGGACCAAAAACAUUUUUUAAAAAUUCCAGAAAGUUCCAAAAAGCAAAACUUGAACUUUUCCCUUUACUGUCAACUACUUACAUAGCAUUUCCUUUGUAUUUACAACUAUUUUAUAACAUUUACAUCAUGUUAUGUAUUAUCGGUUAUCCAGCAAUGAUUUAAAGUAUACAGGAGGAUGUGCAUAGUUUAGAAGCAAAUACUAUGCCAUAUUAUACAAGGCGCUCAAGCAUCCAAAGAUUUUGGUAUGGAGGGGGUGUCCUGGAAACAAUUACCCAAGGAUGGUGAGGGAGGACUGACUGACUAUAUGUCAAAUAAAACCUGAGGACCGUAGGUAAAGACCCUGAUUUCAUUCUAAAUGCAAAGAGAUGCAUUAAAUGAUUGGUGUUUUUAAUUUUUUUCUGUUAAAGCAAGUGAUGGAUACUUUGGAAAAAAAAUCUUUCUUUUUACUCUACAGAGAAAGGAUUAAAGGAAAUAAGAGUGAAAAGGGGAAGAAACAUUACUGACAUGAUGUAAACUAACAAGGAUGUAAGCCAGUGAUGAUAAAGAAAGCAACUGAUUCCAGAUAUAUUUUAGAGGUCUAAUUUAUGAUCUCCUCCCCAUUUUUAUUUUUUUCCUUUCUCAUCAUUAAGACAACUAUGUAAAAUUUCCAUCAGAAUUCAAAUGACAGCUACCUGGCAAGCAGCACCCUACACAUAAAACCUGCGGACUAAGAAACAUUACUAAAUCAAAGAUGCUACCUAAUGGGGGGUUAGCUAAUGAUGAUACUUAGAUACUAAAUGAAUCAUAAACAGCCAGUCUUCUCAGAGGCAAAGAUGGGAACAGAACAGCUCUCUCUCCUGUUUCCAAGACUACUUAAUAGGCAUGACUAGAGAAACACAACUUUGGAGCUACAUGGGGAAUUGAGACUCAUGUCAGCUGUAUUCACUGUUGAAAGUUCUCAGGGUAUCUGCAUGUGUUGAGAAGAGUCAAGCAUCUUGGAUGGAUGGAGGCUCAAACU
rnacentral:lncRNA from 1 species